CAAUUUUACUGAUCUGGACACACCACCUUCGCAGGUCUAAAAUUUUGAGUUUUCAGGUCUAAAAUGUAACUGAUGUAAAGAUUUGUCCAUCCCUUGACAGAAUCCGACUUUUUUUCCAGCUGGUGCACUGAGGGAGGCGUUUGAUGUAGCAACUGCCUUUAAAAAACAAUGCCAUGAUUGAUUCAUUCCCCACUGUAUGUUCGUCCAGCAGAGGAUGCCCUUCAGUGGAAAAUUCUGAAACCUUAUUCAGCUUUGAUGUAUAGCUGGCACAGUUUGUUAAUAAUCUCUAUGAACAUUUGUACAAAUGGUGACAAAAAAGUUCUUUUAUAACCAUGGAAUCAUGACAUGGAAUGUAUUAUUAAUGUGUAUACCUUCAAUGUGGAUUAUCGAAGACUACUUUCGUUUCAUAUUCA